CCCUGGCUAGCUCAGUUGGUAGAGCAUGGGACUCUUAAUUGCAGGGUUGUGGAUUCGAGCCCCAUGUUGGGUG
rnacentral:tRNA from 1 species